CCCGUUGUACACACCGCCCGUCACCACCAUGGGAGUUGGUUUUACCUGGUAAGACGGUGCGCUAACCCGCAAGGGAGGCAGCCGGCCACGGUAGGGUCAGCGACUGGGGUG
rnacentral:rRNA from 1 species